AGGGGUAUAUUCUAUAACUGAGAAUGUAACCAAAGUAAGAAGAUGACAUGUCAUGCAGGUUGAGUUUAAUGUUGAUAAAAACUAAGAUAAUUGUAUUUUGCAACAUCUCAGUUCCAUCCUAUACACAAAACAUAAAUGUAUAUAGCAGUGACCUUGAUUGAUAUGAACAUUUUUAGAAGUAACGCCAAUAAAAUAUAUUGAGAGACAUUUAGAAUAUCCCGAACUGAAGAUUCGUGAUAUUAAGAAGUAUGAUAUUCGGAAUUUUGAAAUCAAUAUAUUAAUAUAUUACAAUAAAAAUGCAGUGAUCCCGAGAGUUAUUUUCAUUUGAAAAGGUGUAACUGCAAUAAACAGUACUAGAGUGAUUAAAUAUUAACUAAAGGGAAGUUACCAUCAUGUACAUUCAAUGAAUAUAAUGUUCCUGUAUCAUUUAAAUACAUCUUAUUUGAGAUUAUUUGUGUAUCAGCUAUUUCAAACAAACUACAUUCUUACUUCAACAAAACGAGUUUAUGUUUUACUUUUUUUUCGUAAUGGACAGACGAAGUUGGCACUUAAGCUGGAAAUGUAGAAACAGGUCAUGCUGCUCCACGUGAAGUUACACGAUGUUAGAAAGAAAGAUAUAGUACAAAUAUCAGCAUUUCAAGGCUGCAGAACAAAAUUCACAGGUAACACAAGAACCUGAAAAGAAAGAAGAAACAAACUCGGUGCUGUAUCUAGAUUUUAAUUCAUAGCAAAUAAUUAAUUUCAGUUUGGAAAUGUUUCAUUUGUCAUUAUUACAUCAUUAAGCUGCAUUUAAUUGAUAUUAUAUCAUCAUACAUUUGAAUUAAUUUCAUUAUUCUAUAAACUUUGUUUUAUUCUUGUAAGAACAAAGUAUUAUGUCUUAUGUUAGUUUUUUUUAUAUCUUUCCAAGAUAUUUUAUAAUUAAAUCCUCAUAGGUAAAAACUGAUUCCAGUAAGCACAAUGAGGCACUUUACAUUGCAGUUGCAUAGUGAUAAACACUAAAAUAUUAGUAGAUUUCAAUAUUUAAUUUGCUGUAAUAUGUUUUUCAUGCACGCAAAACAUAAAUGUAUAUAGUGGUGAUCUUGUCAAUGAAUGAAAAUGGUAAGGACAAAUACUAAUAUAUAAAGGCAUUGAACAUUUCCAGAUUGAAAUUUUCAUCUGCAAGUAAUAUCGAUUUACUACAGUUAGACUUUCAUGUAUCAUUAAGUUACUUUAAUCUAAAAUAAAAUCUGAAAGCAAGGAAUAUAAAGACAGAUAUGAAACAAGAGCUUGACUCGAAGACUUAGUAACCUGUGUAACUGUAGCUUCAAAUUAAAUUCAGCAGAUACUGCAAAAUUACAAAACAAACCGAAACAAGAAAUAUCUUUAAAAAUGAUGGUCGGCGAAUUGUAAUAAGGAAAGAAGUUUAUGAAUUUUUCAUCUAACAUUCAUUUUUCAUCUAACAUUUUUCAAAUUGCAAAACUAAACACCGCACUUUAACAAUUUAAAUGGUUCUCUUUUAAUUUUUCGCAAAGGUUUCGUAGGGUUGCAAUUUUGUUUCGUUUAUCCUUAGACGAAUAAUUACAGCAGUUGUUUGAUGAAGAUUCAUGAAGCGGUUCAUGAGAAGAGGUCAUUAAACGUGUUUAUAUUUUUAGCUAAAUUGGUCCCUAUCCCCAUUUGUAACAAAAUAGCAGGAGACCUUACGAUAUUGUUACACAUCGAGUUUGAUAAAAAUCCAUUACAUUUUAGUGGUUAAUGCAAAGAAAGGCAUAUCUACUUUU